rnacentral:tRNA from 1 species
GCCUGGGGGGCUCAGUCGGUUGAGCGUCUGACUUUGGCUCAGGUCACGAUCUCAAGGUUCGUGGGUUCAAGCCCCGCGUCGGGCU